CUUGCCUUAACAGGAAGCCAGUGUAGGGAGGCUAGCACUGGAGUAAUAUGAUCAAAUUUUUUGGUUCUAGUCAGGAUUCUAGCAGCCGUAUUUAGCACUAACUGAAGUUUGUUUAGUGCUUUAUCCGGGUAGCCAGAAAGUAGAGCAUUGCAGUAGUCCAGCCUAGAAGUAACAAAAGCAUGGAUUAAUUUUUCUGCGUCAUUUUUGGACAGAAAGUUUCUGAUUUUUGCAAUGUUACGUAGAUGGAAAAAAGCUGUCUUUGAAACAGUCUUGAUAUGUUCUUCAAAAGAGAGAUCAGGGUCCAGAGUAACGACGAGGUCCUUCACAGUUUUAUUUGAGACGACUGUACAACCAUCCAGAUUAAUUGUCAGAUUCAACAGAAGAUCUCUUUGUUUCUUGGGACCUAGAACAAGCAUCUCUGUUUUGUCCGAGUUUAAAAGUAGAAAGUUUGUAGCCAUCCACUUCUUUAUGUCUGAAACACAGGCUUCUAGCGAGGGCAAUUUUGGGGCUUCACCAUGUUUCAUUGAAAUGUACAGCUGUGUGUCAUCCGCAUAGCAGUGAAAUUUAACAUUAUGUUUUCGAAUGACAUCCCCAAGAGGUAAAAUAUAUAGUGAAAACAAUAGUGGUCCUAAAACGGAACCUUGAGGAACACCGAAAUUUACAAUUGAUUUGUCAGAGGACAAACCAUUCACAGAGACAAACUGAUAUCUUUCCGACAGAUAAGAUCUAAACCAGGCCAGAACUUGUCCGUGUAGACCAAUUUGGGUUUCCAAUCUCUCCAAGCUUGAAACCCUAGGCCUAUAUGUAUUGUCUAUAUUUUGUUGAACCCGGGGUUGAAUUGAAACAAUAGCUGUUGAUGAGUUUUUAAAUGCUAUAUAUGCCUAACUAGUAUUAAUUGAUGAUAUACUGUAUGAUUUAUAAAGUAUGGUUACAUUUAAUUUGAUCUGUUAAACCUACCCAUUGGAAUGACUUCGAUAGCAACAGUGAAUAUAUUUUGUUAUUAAGAGGUCUCAAUAAUCAUUCUCACGAUAGCACAUUGGUAGUAGUCAGUGACAAAUAUCAAAGCUGGGCUUGGUUAAAACCCUGCAUGGGAGACCAAAUGAAUAGCUGUACUGUAGAUGGAGCAACUCUCCAGUAGGAGGUGCUGCCCAGCCUAUAAUUUUUUUUUUUAAUGGUGGAUAUAACGUCGAAGAUCUGAUGUUGUGUUAAAGGUACAUGUUCGACAUUUUAUACAAGGUUUCUAUGUUGAAAAUGGCUUACAAUGAUGGCAUAAUCCUGUGGUUGGAAUUUCAGCCUCUGAACAACAGUUUGAUGACUUUGACUUUUACAAAUCCAAUGUUAUUUCCAUGUAGAGUCCACAUCACAAUACGUUGACAAAUUACAUUGAAACAAUGUUGAUUCAACCAGUUUGUGCCCAGUGGGUAGGGUCCUAAUGCCUUAAAUGGCUCACAACCAUAAACUACUAACCAAGGACUAUUUUACUUAUUGUUUUGUAUCAAAUGUAACAGAUGCUGCAAUGAUUAAGAAGAUGUCACUAAUAUAUUGUAAUUGUCAUACAUUGAUUAUGUAUGCUUUCGUAACGCAAUUUUCUUCUCAGGUUAUUUGUGGAAAUAACCACAAAUUAUUAAUAAUCACACAUUUAUUCUCAGUAUUACAUUAACAACUUGUCAUAAUUUUCUGGUUACAUGGUUUAUAUUUGCUAGUCGGUUAAUAUAUAUAUAUUUGGUAGGAGGGAGUCUAUUAGUGGAUUUAUCCAUGUAUGAGUUAUUGUGUCCAUACACUCUGGUGAUUUCAGGAAAACUGUGUAAUAACAAAAUACUAACCAGAGAUAAAUGACCUGCUAAUAUAAAUGACAAUCAAAUAAUACUACAUAUUUCUUCUUAUUUUCUUUAAAGUUACAUUAGCUAAAUAACUACAUCAUUAGUAUCAGAUUGGAGUUCCCCCACGUUCAUUAGAUAUUGUAAUAUUUGAAUGGGAAAGUCCUUCUGUGAAACAUCCGUCAAACAGACCUUCUGUAUGUAUGCCUCAAAAUUCCUUUACAUGAUUAAGUCACUAGCCAUAACAAAAUGUAACAUCAUAUUGGAAUUCCAAUCAAACUAAAUGUGCCCUUUGACAUGAAGGUUGAAAUGCAUUGCGGAGUAAUAACAAUCUUUAACUGUACAAUGUUAAUGACAAUCCUAGCAGUCUCUGCUGUGUACAUUGAGUCACUAUCACUUCAUCUGUCACAGUCACUCUCAUGAAGACUGGUGCUGUUCAUUUAGGUUGAAGAGAUGCUUAAAGAAAGUUGUAGAAUGCUUAAAGUAUGUGCUGUUUUACCCUUUUACUAUGUGCAAUGUCAAUUUUGAAGAAAAAAAGUUUCUAGGCAGGUUUGUACUCAUGUAAAAGAGAUAUAGUUGUAUACUAUACUACUAUGUGAAUGAAAUGGAAAUAUUUUUGUAUUAAAAUAUCUUUAACAUUCCUUCAACCAUAAAUAUAAGCAGUAUCUUUACUGAGGUACAGCUUGUAUCUGCUAAAUACUUUGUUAGAAUGACUAAUCCACACUAAAGACUCAGGUCAACUGGUCUGAGAAUGAUGCUGGCAUGAGGGAAAAGGGAGCCAUUCUAUUUUUCAGUAGAACUUGUGUUGGCCUAUUGCUGGGGUCAGCCCAACGUAAACAUUGUUUUAAGUGAUAUGAGCAACACAUUGUUUCAACAUCAUUACUGUGUCAGUUUGUUAUUACUCUAAAGACACAACAUUGACUCUAUUCAAGACCUACAUGCAGAUUUGUUUAGACAACUGUCCUAUUAAUGCUGCAUCAUUUUAAAAUACUGUUUGUUGAUUGUCAGCAAAACGACUCCCUAGGUUGUCCUCCACUCAACCUUAUCAUAAAAACUGUUGUUGGUUCAGUGUGCUCAAUGUCCAAUCAUAAGGUAGACUGCCUUUUGAAGCUGGUUGAAGGAACAUGUAGUGUAUGUUUAAAUAUCAAGCUCAUAGAAUAACAGUAAACCAUGUUCUCACAAGUGUCCAGUGUACUCUCCAGCUAACCAUCGUAUGUAAAGAAUUUGCAUUAGUUGACCCCAUUUGAAACCAGAGGCAGUUAUUCAUUUCCAUUAACCCAGUGCCACAGAUGAUUUCCUACAUUUAAGGUUAUGCUGAGAGCCAUUGUGUGUUUGCUGUGUAUUGCUUCAGUUUAUACAAAUGUUCAUGUUUAUUGGUAUGUGUGUUUGUUCAUUGUGAUUGCUGCGUUAGAUCAAAUGGUACUGGCUGUUUCUAUGAUUCUGUUUAAUCCGUCUCCCCCAGCAGUAGAUUAUGCACUUUUUGUUUCACCGUUUCAGACUAUAUUUUUAUGUUCAUGAAUUCUUCAUCAAGUGUCAUUCUUUUUUUAAAGGCAUCAUGUUACUUUGACUUUUGCAUUUGUGACCUUUAGAGUGGACUGUGCAUCCUUGCAGUAUAUGGGGUGGAGGGUCAAUCAAUGCAUACUGUAAAACAUUUGCCAGGAAAAAGUAAGACAAACAAAAACCGAACCUGGUACAUAUUAGCCAUUGCAUUGCAGAAAACGAAUUGAAAAUAUUGUAUUAUAGAAUGUACAAAACAUGUUGAGAUUAUAUAGUUGUUUAUUUUAUGAGAUGUCAAAUAGAUUGAAUAUAUGUUACAUGAUUUGAAAGUAAAACAAACAGAAGUAUUUUGUAACAGAUUAUUGAAGUGUCUUAUUUGGGGAGGUGAGGUUAUUAUUUUCUUCAGUUCAGCAAGUUGGUGUUAUGGUGUUUCACAGUCUAUUGUAUGGCUUGUUUUUUUCUGUCUGUAUAUACCAUCAAAAAUAAGCUUUAACAUAUUGUUAAUAUUGUUUAAAAAUAAACAAAUAAAAAGUUUACAUUCUGAAACAGCUUGGAUAUUAAUUAUGUGAUAGUGAUAUUGAAUUAUUUAUAAAUCUAUUAAUCUUGAUAAUGUGGUAUCUUUAAAAAUAAAUAUAAAAAAAAACAUGCAUUUUGUGCACUUUAUUCUGCGUGUUUUCAUUCAUGUAUAACUGAAGUUUAUUCUCUCUGAUGUAACUCUGAAAGGAAUCCAGUCCUGUUAAAAUACCCUAUAUAUACAAAAGUAUGUGGACACAACUUCAAAUUAAAGGAUUUGGUUAUUUCAGCCACAACCGUUACUGACAGGUUACUGACAGGUGUAUAAAAUCGAGCACACGGCCAUGCAAUCUCCACAGACAAACAUUGUCAGUAGAAUGGCCUUAUUGAAGAACUCAGUGACUUUCAACGUGGCACUGUCAUAGAAUGCCACCUUUACAACAAGUCAGUUCGUCAGAUAUCUACCCUGCUAGAGCUGCCUCGUGAACUGUAAGUGCUGUUAUUGUGAAGUGGAAACGUCUAGGAGCAACAACGGCCCAGUCACAAAGUGGUAGGCCGCACAAGCUCAAAGAACGGGACCGCCAAGUGCUGAAGCGCAUAAAAAUCGUCUGCCAUCGGUUGCAACACCAAACUGUCUCUGGAAGCAACAUCAGCACAAGAACUGUUCAUCAGGAGCUUCAUGAAAUGGGUUUCCAUGGCCAAGCAGCCACACACAAGCCUAAGAUCACCAUACACAAUGCCAAGCGUCGGCUGGAGUGGUGUAUUGCUCGCCCGCCAUUAAACUCUCUGGAGUGAUGAAUCACCCUUCACCAUCUGGCAGUCCAACAGGCAAAUCUGGAUUUGGCGGAUGCCAGGAGAAUUCUACCUGCCCGAAUACAUAGUACCAACUGUAAAGUUUGGUGGAUGAGGAAUAAUGGUCUGGGGCUGUUUUCAUGGUUUGGGCUAGGCACCUUAGUUCCAGUGAAGGGAAAUCUUAACACUACUGCAAACAGCGACAUUCUACACGAUUCUGUGCUUUCAACUUUGUGGCAACAGUUUGGGGAAAGCCCUUUCCUGUUUCAGCAUGACAAUGCCCAAUGGCACAAAGUGAGGUCCAUAUAGAAAUGGUUUGUCAAGAUUGCUGUGGAAGAACUUGACUGGCCUGCACAGAGCCCUGACCUCAACUCCAUCGAACACCUUUGGGAUUAAUUGGAACGUUGACUGCGAGCCAGGCCUAAUCACCCAACCCCAAUAAUGCUCUUGUGGCUGAAUGGAAGCAAGUCCCUGCAGCAAUGUUCCAACAUCUAGUGAAAUGCCUUCCCAGAAGAGUGGAGGCUGUUGUAGCAGCAAAGGGGUACCAACUCCAUAUUAAUGCCCAUGAUUUUGAAAUGAGAUGUUCGACGGGCAGGUGUCACAUACUUUUGGUCCUGUAACGUUAGUGUAUGUAUGUAGUAGGCUACGUUGUCAGUGCGGCGUCGCUGAUGUGUGGAAUGACAGCUUCCUAUAUUCAAAUCCACUGGCGCCGAAGCAAAAGCUGAACUUUGAUAAAUUCGGCCUACUACCAGAAAGUAUACUGUAGCUACACUUUUCCAACCAACUUGUCGUGAUUUUCAUAAGUCAAAAAGUAGCCAACGUUAGCUAGCUAGCUAAUCAUAAACCGUAAGAACGGAUAUCAUAUCAGUAACAUUAGCAUGCUAGCUAUCUGGCUGGCUAGCAGCUGAGUUAGUUACUACAGUCACGUUUUUCUGCAAGAUUUGAUUUGGCAAGACAUAUACAGCUAGCACUGGGUUGAUGGUUAACGGUAACUCUUGUUUGCGUGGUCAGCUGCUGUACAGUAGUCAGCAAAUGGCUGUUUAAACUGUGUUUACAUAGCUACCUAGGUACUUUUUUUAGCAGCUAACGUUAGCUAACUUGUUGUAAACAAACCCAUUUCGCCCAGCGCACGGUCUGUUAUGCACAUUAAUGAACCAUACCUGAAGAAGUUGAAAAAACAUCGAAUCUGACAUAUUUCUUACUCUACUUUGGGACAGUUCUUUACAGCAAAAACUCAUACACUUCAAAUUGACAAAACUGAUGCUGUUAUUUGACUUCAGAGAUAUUUGACACAACAAAAACCUUACAGCUAAGACACGACAGUGAGUGAGUCUGGCAAGCCACGUGCAUACCGUAGUUUAAAUGAUCUGGUCCACAAAAACCUUCUUCGCAGUGGAAUUUAUAAUAACAUUACCCAGUGCUCAUUUGUUUACAAUAAGAAAUUAUUUGGUCAGGGUUGUGUUUACACUGAGAAGAUUGAACAUGGUUCACUUAAGAAGUCUAAUGUUUUGCGCAAGAUUAAGGACUUGGAUUCCCUCCCCAUGGUUACCAAGGAUGGAUUUAGAAACAUUGUGGCAUUGCAAAGUGAUGCACCCCUGCAGAUGGGCCACAAACAUUACCUGUCUCUUUCAGGAAUAAUGAGGGUCCUGAAGGCAGAGUAUAGGUUCUGGAUGGUAAAAUUAGAAUUUCAGUUGCUAACUAUUGUGAGAAUUACAAUGGUGAUUACCUGAACCAGACUUACUUCGAGGUCGCAGAUCAACGUGUAGAAUGAGCUGUGUCCAGAGUGGUACCAGAGACUGAAUGUUGGAACUGUGCUCUACCUCCAAAACUACACCCUCAAGCAGAGUAAUCCAAACAGGUCUCGACCUGACAUAGACAACCACAGAAUGAAGAGCUUUCACUCAGUAGGACAGCAUUAUGCUGAAGAAGACUGUUGUUGGUGGCCAUUAUUUCUUCCCUCACACCCCUCAGAUAUUCACACAGUCAGUGGCAGAUGGCUCAGCUCAAGUUCUUCUGGUUGCUGCAAAUUACCUAAAGAGGGAGAUGGAUGGUCUGCAUUAUUGUCCACACAAGCAGCUGGCAAUCCAAGGUCAGAUCAUUGCUGUGCAAUAUGUGGCAUGGCCAGAGGAGGCACUGUCAGACCAGGUAGGCUUUAUUGCUUGCUUGCUUUACAGUGGGUUAUACAAUGAACUUAAGGAGGAUCUUUUGGUCAGCUGUCCUGCCAAAAUCAAAAUUUUAACAGUCUUGAUGAAAAUAACCCAUUAUGUGACAUUUUAUCAGGUAACAAUAAUGUAAAUGCCUGUGCCAAAGCCUGCCACCUUAUCCUCCAACGGAUACUUCAUUUUUAUAAGGGCCCAAUUGUCCUUUUAUCCGCUGUACUUUAUGCAUAAAUGUGUAUAGAAUAUAUAUUACGCCUGUACCAUGUUUGCCUAUGAUUGUUUUUAGUGUUUCAAAACUCAAUUUGAGUGGUCCACAAUGUGGUUUAAAAAAGAAAAUCUGUAUUAUAGUAUCAUAGUGGAGUGACACGUCAAUACAUUUUUCUAACUCUAGAUACAUUGAGUACACAAAACAUUAAGAACACAUGCUCUGUCCAUGACAGACUGACCAGUUCAAUGCAAUGAUCCCUCAUUGAUGUCACUUGUUAAAUCCACUUCAAUCAAUGUAUAUGAAGCGGAGGUUAAAACAUGAUUUUUAAGCUUUGAGACAUUUUAAUUUAACCCUUAUUUUACCAGGUAAGUUGACUGAGAACACAUUCUCAUUUACAGCAAUGACCUGGAGUAUAGUUACAGAGGAGAUAAAUGAGCCAAUUGGAAUGAAGGCCAGAUUGGGAAUUUAGCCAGGAUACCAGGGUUAACGCCCCUACUCUUACAAUAAAUGCCAUGGGAUCUUUAGUGACCACAGAGAGUCAGGACACCCAUUUAACGUCCCAUCUGAAAGACGACAUCCUACUCAGGACAAUGUUCCUAAUCACUGCCCUAGGGCAUUGGGAUAUUUGUUGUUUGUUUUUUUGACCAAAGGAAACAGUGCCUCCUACUGGCCCUCUAACACCACUUCCAGCAGCAUCUGGCAAGCCAGCAGUAUGCUGCAGGGUGGUGUGCUGCAGGGUGGUGUGCUGCAGGGUGGUGUGCUGCAGGGUGGUGUGCUGCAGGGUGGUGUGCUGCAGGGUGGUUUGCUGUGCAUGUGUGCCAUUCAGGGGGGUGAAUGGGCAAGACAAAAGAUUUAAGUGCCUUUGAACAGGGUAUGGUAGUAGGUGCCAGGCACACCGGUUUGUGUCAAGAACUGCAACACUGCUGGGUUUUUCACGCUCAACAGUUUCCCAUGUUUAUCAAGAAUGGUCCACUACUCAAUGGACUUCAAGCCAACUUAACACAACUGUGGGAAGCAUUGGAGUCAACAUGGGCCAGCAUCCCUGUGGAAUGGUUUUGACGCCUUAUAGCGGUGCGCAACUCAAUAUUAGGAAGGUGUUCCUAAUGUUUUCUAUACUCAGUGCAUAUAACACAUUUCAUGUUAUUUUAACACACUAAUUCUCUUUUUCUAAAGUCGAUGCAUUGUUUUUUUUUUACAAGAAAAGGAACAGGACAGGAUACAUUGAAAGACAAAAAAACAACAGUUGCCUGUACAUAACUUUAUAGGAAUGAUUUGGCAUUGGUAAGUCAAGUUUAGAAUACGGUUCAGUCUGUGGGUGAGCCUGUUGUGGCUGUACCUAAUCCACAAAGUGAUCAGAAAACUGUAGACGUAACUGAAACACAGGGAAACAGCACCAUCUGGUGUACAGAGCUCACUCAGCAGACGGGGGAAAAACAACCCAAGAAGAGAGUGAUGAAGCAAUGCUACAUCACUCGUGCCAGGAUGCAAGAGAAAAGAGAAGCUGGCCGUGGCUUUACAGAAUAGGAGCUAGUGGAGCAGGAAGAGGAGAGUGAUUCUGAAUCAGAGGAAGAAGUUGGUCCUCUAGAAGGAAACCCAGACCAAACCAGAGCCAGUGAACAACAAAGUCCAUCAGAAUGACGGCGCUCCAAGAGAGAGUGGUUACCUACUGUGGAUGGAUCAUCGGGGAAAGCAGCUCGUGGCUGAAGCAGAGAUGAGAAGUGUCAGAAUAUUUGGGUCAAUGACGAAUAAGGUUUUCAAAAACAUUUUAAAAGGGAAAAAUAUUAAUUUCGAAACAGUUUUUAUGUUCCCUUGAGUGUUACUUACAAUUUGUAUGCACAUUCAGGAUUUGUCGCUUUUUAUGCAACUUCAAUUUACCACCUAAAAAAGUCAUCCUGUGUGACCAUUCAUUUUUUUAUAUAAAAACUGUUUUCUGACCAUUAUUUCUAGCAAAGAAGAGUAAAAUAUGAAUAUUAACAUGGUCUCAGUUAUUCAACAUCAAAGAAGUUAAAAAUUACAGUAUAAUUUUUACAUUUUUGUACUUUUCACUGGACGAUCCCACAUUUUGAAUGACUGUCAACUAAAACUUCUGUUAGAGAAAUUAAAUCCAUAUACAAUUUUACAAAAAUGCAUUUUUCUCUUAUAGACGAGAUUCUUUCUGCAUUUUUUUAGACAAUGAAAUAAUGCAAUUGUUUUUAACCAUUAAGUACUGAAUUAUCAUUGCUGGUUGCACCGAAUGACUAUUAUUUUACAGUGUCAUUUUUUUAGGCAGAUCUCUUUCCCUCUUACAGAAACACACACAUACAUAAACAGUAUGGUUUCUUAUUCAACAACAAUGAUGCCUUUAAUGCUUAAUAAAUUACAAAAAAUGUGACUCAAAUGUUUAUCACGCAGAAACAUUUCAUCAUGAACAUGGCAAUGAACUUCUAAAAAUGAUUACAAUUCUGCAUUAUGAUACAUUUUUCAAACAAUGUUAAAACAGUUAAGAAUCAAUGUAAUACAUACAUAGUAAAGUUCUUGAAGUACAGUAAUG
rnacentral:lncRNA from 1 species